rnacentral:rRNA from 1 species
AGAGAGAGACAUGCGCGCAUAUCAAUAAGCGGAGGAAAAGAAACUAACAAGGAUUCCCUUAGUAACGGCGAGUGAAGCGGGAAGAGCUCAAAUUUGAAAUCUUCAAGGUUUUACCUUGACGAAUUGUAGUUUAAAGAAGUGUUUUCUGCUGAAGUUUUGGUAAAAGUUCUUUGGAAUAGGACAUCAUAGAGGGUGAGAAGUCCCGUAUUUGACCAUUAUUUUCAGCUUUGUGAUACACUUUCAAAGAGUCGGAUUGUUUGGGAAUGCAGUCCAAAAUGGGUGGUAAAUUUCAUCUAAAGCUAAAUAUUGGCGAGAGACCGAUAGCGAACAAGUACCGUGAGGGAAAGAUGAAAAGAACUUUGAAAAGAGAGUUAAACAGUACGUGAAAUUGUCAAAAGGGAAGCGUUUGACACCAGUGUUGUUUUCUCGAAAAUCAAUUAAAAAUGGCUCGAUUUUGUAUUGCUUGAGACCUUAAAAGCUCACGGUACAUUUUUCGUGUCUUUUUUAAUGCACUUUUCGUUUAACAAGUCAACAUCAGUUUCUUUUGUUGUAAAAGGGUCAUUGGAAGGUGGCUUUCUUUUCGGAGAAAGUGUUUAUAGCCUUUGGCCUCUGCAAUCGGAGAGACUGAGGUCUGCAGCGUAGACUCUUCGGGGUUAGAUACAUUUGUGCUAAGUUAUAGCUUUUUAUAGACAACUUGUUGACUAUAAUUAGUCUUGUAGCUUACUCGCUUAUGCUAUUUUACCUACGCUUAGGAUGUUGAAGUCAUCGUAUCGCGC